rnacentral:rRNA from 1 species
AUGUACACAAGCAAGAAAACUGCAGACGAGAAGGAAAAUAAGUUUCUCUCCGUGGUUCACUUGCCGUUGUUCUCUGUCCACGAGACAGAGCUUCAGUCUCUCAUAACUCGUAAUAGGUCGAUGUACUAUCACCUGCAUCCGUCAUCUACUCGUGGAGCUCUUGAGAUACUUCAGAUACAACACAAUGGCCUACGUGUCCAAAUGUCAGGGUUAUAUUCAACAAUUGUAGAAAGCUGUAGAAAAUAUAAUACACAAUUUUUUCUUGCAUAUAUAGAUUUACUUGAUAUUUUUAGUGAUCAAACAAUUUGGUAUUCAGUGUUUACUUGA